UACAGAGGUGGCAAGCGUUGUUCGGAAUUACUGGGCGUAAAGGGCGCGUAGGCGGCGAUCCAAGUUAGGCGUGAAAGCCCCGGGCUUAACCUGGGAAUUGCGCUUAAGACUGGACUGCUUGAGUGCGGGAGAGGUGAGUGGAAUUCCCAGUGUAGAGGUGAAAUUCGUAGAUAUUGGGAAGAACACCAGUGGCGAAGGCGGCUCACUGGCCCGCAACUGACGCUGAGGCGCGAAAGCGUGGGGAGCAAACAGG
rnacentral:rRNA from 1 species